rnacentral:lncRNA from 1 species
AAGCUCUUGCCUUGACAAGGUCUUCCACAUAUAUAAACGACACCUAGGGGACACUUCACUUGGCGAAGGGCAUCAAUAGCUUAUGAGUCUGUCUUGAACUUCUCACAUUCAUCAGUAUACACCAGUCGUAUCGGUCUCCUUGAAUUCUACUCGUUUAAAGAACAUGAAGAGGAUCCUACAUCAACUAACUUUUGCAUCGUCAUCUUCUUUCUCUUUUCACUUUUGAUUGUUUUGCUUUAGAGUAGCUUAAAACUUCCGUCUGUAUUG